ACACAAACACAACACUCUCACUUUCCUCAUGUUCCUUGCCUUUUGUUUCUAUCUCUGCAUGGCAGAGACUCUGAGCUUUGGGAGAGGCAGAGUGCAUGGUGGCUUGGGAGAGCGGUAGGAUAGUAGUGGUGUGCUGUGCUAGAAGGAUUGGAGUCAUGGCCUCUAUCACCAUGAACUCUGUGUGGCUCGCGAUGUUCAUCCAUAGGCGCAACGUUGGUGGUAGCAGUAGAUCUGACAACAACAAUGGCAGCGACGGGGAGGUCACCAUGAUGGAUCUAUCCAAAGUCAAGCUACCGUUCACUUCAGACUCCAUCGCUAACCUUGACCACACCUCUUCCUCAAAGAAAUCACCUACUGGGUCAUUGCUUUCAUGAAGUUUGGCAAACUCAUUGGUUCUCCACAAGUGAUGUUCCUUUGGAACAAAAAAAUAUCCAAUUUUGCUCCUUAGGCGAUACGAAAGAGGAUGGUUGUCACAAUAAAUACAAUCAACAUAGCCCUUUGUGGAUCGUGGACUUAACUUUAUAGACCACAGAUACAGAGUCUGUAGAGUGAGAGGAUGGUAGUUCCGACUCAUCUAUUUUGGGGUCAGCUCCCACUCUAGAGCGCACCAGGGAAGAUGAGGGAACUAGCAAAUCAGGGGAAAGCCUGGCGGUUGCAACGAGCACGGAUGCCCCAGGCGAGUUGGAGGAGAGUAUUGCUACCGUGAUAUCAAAUAACCAAACAUAAGUAAAAUUAUAGGAUGCCACCGAGCGCACUGCCAACGCCAAUUCCACUACCCCAUGAAGUCAAUCCGGCAUUGCCAGUAUCUCUGCGGAGUUCAUUGGGAACUGAGAUGAUAGAGGUCGGACAAGACCAUCCUUCAUUCAGGAAUAAUGAAGCUGAGGUAGCUGAAACGCUGGAGCGAACUGCUAGUCAUGGAGGCAGAAUUGACGCGGGGCAAGCAACACCGGACACUGUACUAGCAUCCUCCAGUCAUCUGCCGCAACCAUCUGAUGUGGAGAUUACUCGGAUCAAGGAUUCUUGGUCCGAGGUUGUAUGGAAGUAAUCUGAAUUUGAAGCCCUUCUGCAGACUGUUGUCCAGAAUUUGGAGCUGAAAGCACAGGGUAUUUGUGCGGAGCUAUCCGCAGAGAUUGCCAAAAUGAAGACAGCUCGAGAAGAGCGUGAAGCCCAUUAUUCAGAAUCAAUGAAGAUGCUUCAGGACGGAAUGGAGGAACUGGAGAAGCAGAAGACAAGGGUUGAUCUUGCCAGAACGUUCAUGGUAAUGGACCACGGUAUUGAUGGAGCAUGAAGGGCAAUGGGCGUGCAGGGGAUGGUGUUACAGUGGGGGAUGGCGAUGCGACGAGGCACGGUGGUGCAGCGGUGGACGCGCCGCACGUGGUGGCGAUGCGACGAGGCAUGGUGGUCCUGUGGGGUGCGGUGGGACGGUGGGAUGGUGGCGCGGCAGGAGGACAAGCCGUGCGUAGGAUGGGCCAUGCUCUGUCCGUUUUCCAGACAUGCCCCUAAAGCCGAGCGUUUGAGCGCUAGUUGCAUCGUCAUGUAAAAGCAACAGGAAAAAAACCAUAUACUAAAUCACCCAAAACCAAUGUAGUAGCCAUGAUCAAGAAGAAACCCUAGGCACAUGAAUGCUCUCCACAAAUAGAUCAUAGAGAUAGAUAAUAGCCAGAAAAAUAGAUCAAGUAGAAAAGUAGAAAAAAAAUCAAAUAGGAGAACUAUAGUUAGGAAUCAAAGGAGUGUGGACGGCAACAAUUUUUCUUA